CAGGACAGCAUGGCUCCCUUCUGAGGUGACAGGACAGGGAAUGUAGCACCCAUGAGCCCACAGGACAGCAUGGCUCCCUUCUGAGGUGACAGGACAGGGAAUGUAGCACCCAUGAGCCCACAGGACAGCAUGGCUCCCUUCUGAGGUGACAGGACAGGGAAUGUAGCACCCAUGAGCCCACAGGACCGCAUGACUCCCUUCUGAGGUGACAGGACAGGGGUAGAUGCUUAGGUUCUACUUGAUAAUCACAUCCUACUGUUGUUGACACCAUCUUUAUCACUUUUAUUAGAGAUGUAUUUUCAAUUGUUAGACUUUUUUCUUGCACUGCCAAGGAUCAAACCCAGGGCCCCAUACAUAUUGUGGAUUCUUCCCUUUUCACCGAACUGAAUCAACCACUCAUACACUAGGUAGACAUAUAGUUUAGUAGCAGAUGAGGUUUGUUCUGUAUUUCCUUUCCCCUUCUUCCUGCCCAAUUGACCCGUGUGCACCACUCAGUUCUCUGCCAGGGUGGUUGGUGCUGCCUGUGGCCGCCCUCCUCUGUUCUGGGAGGGACACAUGGUAGUUUCGAGGGUUCUCCAUCUGUGGUCAUUUCUUGUGCCUCCUAUCCUUCCUGUUGGGGUCCAAUUUGGCUUCUGCGCCUUCGCUCUACCUCACUCCUGGGUUCCUGACUGCACCUGCAUCCCCUUGGGUGGUUUCCUACUGAGCAACACUGCCAUGCCUGCUCAGGCCUCUGGUUUCUGGGUCUCUUGGUAAUUUUUAGGAGUUUUCUAGGGUAUUUAUAUCCGCCUAGAACGCUUUGUCUAGUGUUUCUGAAGCAUUGCUGUGGAGUGCAGUGGAAGCAUUUGGCAGAGAGCUUGCGGGAAGUGUGGCAUGAAGCUUUAUCUGAAGCCUCUGCGUGUUCUCGUCAGCUCAGCCCAGGGGCAGAGAAUCCCUGCAGCACAGCCCUUCUUGUUGGUUCUUUUUAGCCUAGAGCUGGGGAAGGGGGAUGGAGGGAGGGAUAAUUCUAAACCAGUGAAUUAGCUGUGGGUGGUGGACACAAUAUCUGAGCAGAUAGGCAGUGUACUUAGAGGGGGGAAAAUCCCAUCUUAAAGAUCUGAGAUCUUAGAUAGAAUUAGGAGGAAGUCCUUUACGUAAGAAAAGCGCUUUGGGCUCAGGGGCUUUCUGCUGAAAGCUGUUGACGGAACCUUGUCUGUGGCCGUUCACGCUGACAUUGAGAGAAGAGAGAAAACGUGCUCAUCACUACCAAUGGUCAGUGUAGUGUUCGGAAAUAAGCGUGAACAAUAUUUAAGCUCUGGAAUAUGUCUGCUACGACCAGAGCUGGGUUUGGAGGCUGGCUCUUCUCAGAUUUAUAGUAUAUCCUUUUUUUUUUCUAGAAGUUCCCUACUGUAGACAUUCCAGGAGUGGAAGGUGCCAGGAGCAUGCAUAAUUCAUUUCUGAGCUGCCGGCUCCUGGCAAAGUGUCUGACAUGUGUUCCAUGAGAAAACGAAUGCUUGCCAGGGCCUCUUCCUCCCUCUUCAGAAUGCUUCCUUACAGCCAAGGCAGGGUACAUCCCAGUGACUCCAAACAAGAAAAGGAAUGGGCAGCAGUUAUUGGGAGACGUCCAGAGAAUGCUACCCAGCCUUUUGCCGUCUUGAUGCGUGGUGGUAGGGAAGAGGGAAGAGACUUGUGUGCAUAUAACCAUGUACAGUUGAGGUUCAGGAAGAAACUCAGCAGAUCACUAGAGUCCUAAGCGUUCUUGAAGCGGCUGCUUGGUGACCAGUCGCACUCCCAUCUCACAACCCCUGCAGUCAGUGUACUGACCGCUGUCUGGAGAGUGUGUCUGUGUGUCUACUCUGAGUAUCGCAGACUCCUUCCCCUGAGCUUUGCCUACAGAAACUGCCACCGUGAGGCAAGCGGCAAAAGAGCCAGAGAUAGAAAAGGCCUCAACCACGGCCCAUACUCGAGGUGGGAAGUGUAAUGAUGCCUUUGAUGGAUGAGUUAUUGCACGUCUUCCCUGGUGGGAGGUAGACUCGUCAAGCAAAGUGGGAGGCAAUGGUUAUUCCCCGGCAACACAAGAGAGCCUUUGUGCUUUGCUCGCAAGUGCGAGCAUUUCUGUGCUAUUUACUUUCUUUCCAGAGAAUGGCCUCAGCUCCCCAAAAAGGAUGGUUUGAAAAGUAACAAAUUAUGGUGCUGAGGAUUUUAUUCAUUCAGACUCUGAGCGCUUCAUUGAGUAGUACAUUUUAAGAACAAAGAUCAGAGCUGGAGGGAGCCUGGAGCAGCCAUGUGUGUAGAACAGCCCGAAGACAUUAGUGAGUAUUCAGACUUUGAGCUGUGUAAAUAUCAGACUUCGCUCCCAGCCGUAUGAGAUAUUUGAGCAGUUAAGGAGGAAAGGGAGGUUCUUUGAAUAAAACGUUUUGCC
rnacentral:lncRNA from 1 species